rnacentral:miRNA from 3 species
AAGCUUUUGGCUCGGGUUAUAU